UACGUAGGGUGCGAGCGUUGUCCGGAAUUAUUGGGCGUAAAGAGCUCGUAGGCGGUCUGUCGCGUCGAUCGUGAAAACUUGGGGCUUAACCCUGAGCUUGCGGUCGAUACGGGCAUGACUGGAGUUCGGCAGGGGAGACUGGAAUUCCUGGUGUAGCGGUGAAAUGCGUAGAUAUCGGGAGGAACACCAGUGGCGAAGGCGGCUCUCUGGGACGGUACUGACGCUGAGACGCGAAAGCGUGGGGAGCGAACAGG
rnacentral:rRNA from 1 species